rnacentral:rRNA from 1 species
GGGGUCCGGCGUCGUUGCGUGUUUUGGUGGUCGUCGCCGUCAUUGGUUGCGUGCUUUGGUCGACGUCGAGGGGCUGGGGCUUAAGGAGGGGAGGGUCAGGGUCCGGUCUUAGGGGUUUAGGCCUAGUCGGCGUUUCGUUUUGCAAGCUUUGGUUCUGUGUCUGCGGGUUCGGGUGCGGGUGCGGGUUUAGAGAGAGAGAUGAGCGUACGCGCCUCCGCGUCGAUGGGCGUCGUCGCUCAGCGGUACUAGCACGCGUGGAUGCCGGCGUCUAGGGCGUGGAAGAGGCUGCCGCGGCGGCCGCGGCCGCGGCCGCCUCCGCCUCCCCUGGCGCCCGAGAGCAGGAGCGUCCUGCGCAAGCUGAAGCUGCGGCCCCUACCCCUGCUGCUCGAGCGUCGCGACCCGAGCAGGCGCAGCGUCGGGAAGGGCGGGAGCGUCCUCAGGAGGAGCUACACCCUGAAGCUGCUCCUGGGCGGGUGCGUCGGCGGCGGCGGGGCCGAUCUCCCCGGCGCGGCAUUCCCCGCGGCGCCCUCCGUGCGGCUCGAGCUCGGGCUCCGCCGGUGGCGGUGCGAGUACCUCCGGCUCCUCAUGCCCCUCUACUACCUCUCGCAGCUGCUCCAGUUAAAGCGCGAGCUGCCCGACGCCGGGUGGCGCGGGUCCGCCCACGCGGCCCGGUCGGACGAGCGCGACGAGCCCUAGACGCGCAGGCGGCGCGCGGCGGCGCAGGAGGCCCGAGUCCCUAACCAUUUCGUUUAAUAUCUAUUACAAAACCGAGACUUGUAACUACUAGGAAGGACACCACAACGCCGCCGUCGAGAAAAUAAACAAAACCGUUCACUACAUGUUCUCUUAGUACACGAUUUAAGUCUUAGCACAUAAGCCAAAGAAGAAUUUAAUAAUUUAGGAGGUUACCUGCGUUUACUACAGUUUCGUGGUAGAUAUCCAAGGUUUGAGGAACCUUAGUCAUUUCAAGUUUACAAAUUACCGAGUUUAUUCCUAAGGCUAAGGUCGAGUCUCCUAUAGUAUAGUUUUCAACUUCUUUAGGAGAAUUCGACAUUUCUUUAGUUCGGUGAACUGUCCCUACCGUUCUCUUGUAGUUCCGGUCUUAAUACAAGUUUUACCGAACGAAACAACUGUUACCUUUUUCGUACAAACAGUCGACAGCGUAAUCUCCUCUGAAGACUGUACCACUGGUCUCAACCUCCCCUAAAGUUUCUUUGUAAUUCCCGUAACCCACCAGAACUAUUAUAAAAACUACAAUACCAACUAACAGUAAGGAGUGACCUCCCUUAACAUUUCCUGUGGAGGUGAGACAGGAACCUGUACUUCCUUCCUUGUAGAAACGUUUCACGACGCGAGGAGGACUUUACAAACUUUUAAAAUCUCUUACGGUGUAAGAAUUCACUAGUCUUGUUCUGGGUAAACGAGUCGUACUCAUCUUUUAACUCAGGGUCUCCGAGAUGUCAAAGAGAACGACCACAGUAAUAGUUAUAACAACUUAAUAAUAGUCAUGACAGAGAGGAAGUCUUAAGAAGGUGACAAAGUUCGUCAUGUCUAUUUUUUAGAAGGUUUCCAACAUUUCCCCCGACGAGACGUCUGUAGUUCCCACGUUGAUGUAACUUACCAGUACCGUUCCCGUUCUUGAGCUUCUUUUUAUUCGAAAGCGACUUGGUCUUUACGGUUUUAACGAGUAGAAGGUUUAAUCUACGAAGGGUAUAAUCAUAUAGAAGAUGAUCACUGCAACCGGAUAGUGUUUACUGUGAACUAACAAGGGUCAGAUGAAGUUCGUUGUCCCGUAGUUCACCAAGUAAUCCACGCUCCGUGUCGUUACCAGAACCAGAACCAGACUUCGAAUUAUAUUCUUUCCUUGCACCAUUUCGGUUGGGUUAAUCUCCGAGUUCACCUACCCAAAGAUAUUGCCGUGUAUCAAGACUACCUUGCAGGUCUCUUUACCGUUUUGCUGCUGCAGACAGACUUUUACCGUUGUCACUAAACUCUUCACCGUCACCAUCACUAGGAAAACGUAAACUACUACAACUAGUCCUCGGACUUGAUAAACCAGUUUUUUUCUCUAGUUGUGUACCGGCAGUUCGUUUUAGUCGCUUACUCUUUAACAGCCUGCUAGCACCCUAACGACGCUAACCUUCAGUCCUUAGUAUAGUUGGACUUCUAUUAGUAGUAGACCCACGUUGUAGGGUAAGAUUACAACUGCUACUAAGGUCAGAAAACCUUCUGACGGAAAACCGUAGUUAAUUCCAAGAAUACUUGAAUCGUUUACUGUUGGGUAGACCAACACUUGUAUAACGUAGUACACCACCUGAAUUGUGGUACCGGAGGAACUAGUAGUUCGUAAAGGGAAGUAAACUAAAGAGGCACCUGUGACCGGCUCUACAGCUAGAACCUGUUCUGGAGUGGCUAAGACUCCUGUCGUUUCGUACGGUUCACUUUCGAUUCGUUGACGCUCUAGUACUCGAACUAAAAGACCAACGGUAUAACCCGAACGAACAGUUAGAGCACCUUUUUCUAUCGGAAUUAUCCCACGCCGAACGUAGACGGGCACAAAGACACCUAGACAGAUUCUUGCGUGUCUCACUUUUCCGUGUCUCCCUACAAUAUGGUGAGGAGACAAGUUAGAAGAAUCGUUCAUUUCCAAGACCCCUUCGAAGACGUUGAUAUAGUGGCCUACUACUUCUCAGUUACAACGUUCCUCGUGCCCUUCGACUUUACUACUAGCACCUCCGGAUACGUCGGGAGCACGAACCGAAAGAAAGCUAUCUUUCGUACUUCCAAGCUCCUCGCUAAAGGUCGACGGAAGGUUUAUUGUUGAACUUUCAAGAACACGGACACGAUCUCUUUAAACACCGCAAAGUAGACGUCGAAUUAUACUACUGUCUGCUUUGUGUGAGUAGACAAUGUCUUCAAUAGCUUUUUACGUUUGAUACUAUCCUACCACUUCUCCAGUGGACAUAUCUGACUGACCGGAGAAGCGUCGGAUCCGUGUGUGUUCACAAGGAGGAGCAGGGGAGCACGCGGCGUCUACUGGACGUCAGCAGAACGUUGAUUGGUUCGUACCACAGUAAGAAAGAAAAGAAAAGGAAAACGGGGGGACAACAACAGCGCGUAGAAAACACACACGAGGAACGGCGGAGAGUUUUGUGCAACAAAUGAAUCGGUUAAGUUUAACUUACAUUUUAUUGUAGUAUCCCUUACAUGACACACACGCACACACACAAACAUUAAACAUGACCAUGGUCAGUAUCAGUCAGUGGUGUGUACGGAUUUAGACUUCUUCGAAUUACCUUGCAUGGCAGCGGUACGGCAAACCAAACACGGAGGACACAGACUUUGUCUUUCAUAAAACAA